GACGAACGCUGGCGGCGUGCUUAACACAUGCAAGUCGAACGGAAAGGCCUCUUUCGGGGGGUACUCGAGUGGCGAACGGGUGAGUAACACGUGAGUAACCUGCCCUUGACUUUGGGAUAACUUCAGGAAACUGGGGCUAAUACCGGAUAGGAGCUCCUGCUGCAUGGUGGGGGUUGGAAAGUUUCGGCGGUUGGGGAUGGACUCGCGGCUUAUCAGCUUGUUGGUGGGGUAGUGGCUUACCAAGGCUUUGACGGGUAGCCGGCCUGAGAGGGUGACCGGCCACAUUGGGACUGAGAUACGGCCCAGACUCCUACGGGAGGCAGCAGUGGGGAAUAUUGCACAAUGGGUGGAAGCCUGAUGCAGCAACGCCGUGUGCGGGAGGACGGCCUUCGGGUUGUAAACCGCUUUCGCUCAUGACGAAGCUUUGCGUGACGGUAGUGGGUAAAGAAGCACCGGCUAACUACGUG
rnacentral:rRNA from 1 species